GUGUACACAGCAAAAUCACCAGUGUUAAAUUUUCAGGGAUGGUGUUAAAUACACAGUGUUGAUGCUGUUUUAACACUAUCUGGUAAUAAAAUAACACUGCCAUUGCUAGGCCAGUGUUAUAUUCACGACAGUGUCAGUGUAAAACAAGGGUGUUAUCAGAUUUCACUCUGAGCGGUGUAAAUUAAGCCACGCCUCCACUAAACAUAUCCUGUCAGGGAUUUUACCGCCAUUUUCUUUCACAGGAGGACUGAAGAGAUCAGAUGCUAGUUUGGUGAAAGUACACACUGAGUGCUUCAAAUCAUUCAGAAGAGAUGCUGUUUUUAGGGCAGUUUAUUAAAGAAGACCUGACAUGGAUGACGACUGCUAAUACUUAUAUAAAUUCAUUACAGAAGGACCCUACCAGACUAUAUUUGAAUACGGCAUACCCAUGAAUUCUGGAACUGUUAUUCCUUAACCCAGUUUGGAGGAUAAGAGCUUACCAACUAGUUAUAAAUAUGCUGAGGUGAUGUAUUGCAAAAUAGCCAACAUACAACAAUAUGGAUGACCCUCUGUCUGGUCAACAGGAGUUUAAAUAUGGACGGGACAGUGAUGUGGCAGCUCUUCCCUGGCUCAUUCACCUCUUGCCUUUCAUUUGUGAAAGGAAGAAAGAAGAAAGAGGGUCAAUGUGCAACUGAAGCUACUGAUUGUGCUAUGUGAUGAGCAUCAAUCCAUGCUUUGAAGUGGAUGAAUCAGCACAGCCCUGCCUGCACUGCGUUGGGAACAGAAGUUGCAUCCAGAAUUUUUGCAUCAUUCUGGACCAAAAAGCCAUUCCCUCCAUGAUGAAGACCACUGAUGCAGCCUUCCACUACAUCAUGAGUAAAACAACUACAGAACUAAAUACCAGGUUGGAACGUAUUUAAGAAAAAUGAAACGUCUUUUGAAUUGAAAUGUCUGUUUUGUUAUGGAAAAAUCUUUAGUAUUGUGAAGGAUAAGCAUUUCUGCCUGCCAGUAAGGUAAUUGCAGUAUAUUUUAAUGUUCAAGUUUUGAGUAGGGUGGCUAAUUUUUUUUAAACUCUCAUUUGAUAUAUUAAAGACCUUUAAUAAGUGGUUUUCAUGUCACUGCGCUGUGGUAUAAGAUAACUUUCAUUAUUUCAUACUGUAUUCUGUUUCUAAUUGUAGCUGAGGUAUUUAAAUAAGCAGUGUUAAAUGCAAAGUGUUGUGUGUAUCAAUGUAAAUAUUAAAUGUGAUGUACUUUAAUAAA